GGGGAAUUUUCCGCAAUGGGCGAAAGCCUGACGGAGCAAUACCGCGUGAGGGAGGAAGGCUCUUGGGUCGUAAACCUCUUUUCUCAGGGAAGAACACAAUGACGGUACCUGAGGAAUAAGCAUCGGCUAACUCCGUGCCAGCAGCCGCGGUAAUACGGAGGAUGCAAGCGUUAUCCGGAAUGAUUGGGCGUAAAGCGUCCGCAGGUGGCGAUGUAAGUCUGCUGUUAAAGAGUGAGGCUCAACCUCAUAAGAGCAGUGGAAACUACAUAGCUAGAGUACGUUCGGGGCAGAGGGAAUUCCUGGUGUAGCGGUGAAAUGCGUAGAGAUCAGGAAGAACACCAGUGGCGAAGGCGCUCUGCUAGGCCGUAACUGACACUGAGGGACGAAAGCUAGGGGAGCGAAUGGGAUUAGAUACCCCAGUAGUCCUAGCCGUAAACGAUGGAUACUAGGCGUGGCUUGUAUCGACCCGAGCCGUGCCGUAGCUAACGCGUUAAGUAUCCCGCCUGGGGAGUACGCCGGCAACGGUGAAACUCAAAGGAAUUGACGGGGGCCCGCACAAGCGGUGGAGUAUGUGGUUUAAUUCGAUGCAACGCGAAGAACCUUACCAAGGCUUGACAUGUCGCGAAUCUUGAUGAAAGUUGAGAGUGCCUUCGGGAGCGCGAACACAGGUGGUGCAUGGCUGUCGUCAGCUCGUGUCGUGAGAUGUUGGGUUAAGUCCCGCAACGAGCGCAACCCUCGUUUUUAGUUGCCAGCAUUAAGUUGGGCACUCUAGAGAGACUGCCGGUGACAAACCGGAGGAAGGUGGGGAUGACGUCAAGUCAGCAUGCCCCUUACGCCUUGGCCUACACACGUACUACAAUGCUCCGGACAGAGGGCAGCAAGCAUGCGAAUGCAAGCAAAUCCCGUAAACCGGAGCUCAGUUCAGAUCGCAGGCUGCAACUCGCCUGCGUGAAGGAGGAAUCGCUAGUAAUUGCAGGUCAGCAUACUGCAGUGAAUUCGUUCCCGGGCCUUGUACACACCGCCCGUCACACCAUGGAAGCUGGUAGUGCCCGAAGUCAUUACUCCAACCCUUAGGGGGGGAGGAUGCCUAAGGCAGGACUGGUGACUGAGGU
rnacentral:rRNA from 1 species